rnacentral:lncRNA from 1 species
GGCUUCUAAAGUAAGCAAAUAGCUACUUCAAAUUGAAUAAUUCACCAUUAGUACUAACCUUUUUUUUCCCUCUUUGAAAAUGAAACUUAACAAAUUCUUGCAAUCAAUAUAAUUUUCUAUUGCAACCAGUCAAUUCAAAUUAGGGUUCGUAAUUAUAUAUUAGGUAUCUAGAACAAUUAGAUUUCCUCUUUUUACUUAUUUCAUGUUUUUUUUUUCUUGUUGACAAAGGAAUCACAAUUAUUAGGGAUGGAAAUCGGAUGAGAAUAUGCACUUUCCUGAAAAAAAACAUCGAUUUUGUUCUGGAGUGAAAACUCAUUCCAAUUCCAAAAAUAUCAAAAAUUGGAACGGAAAAACUCGUUCCAUAAUCAGAAAUUUUCGGACCAUAAUCGGCAAAAUUUGGAAGAUUCUAUUUUUUUGGUCAUUCAAAAUAUAAACACAUACUAUCGGGAAAAAAAAUCGCAGCCGAAAUUUUUGGAAUUCAUAAUGAAAAUUAAUUUUCCAAAAUCGUAAAAUUUGGAAUCGGAACCAGCAGAAAUUAGAAAUUCUGAUGCAGACACUAUCUAAACAUGGUGCAAUUUGUUGAAAUGACAAUUCUAGAUUGGCGUGACAAAAGGAUUCAAAUUAUUGGGGUAAUAUAUUCCAAAAGACUUGGUCAACUUUUGAAUUUUCCACUUGUUGAGGUCUUUCUGAUGCACUACAAAGUCAUCACUGUGAAAACACAUUUCAGAUAUAUAUAAGUAGAAAUUAAAUUAUUUGUGUGUGAUUAAUUUCAUUAUUACUUUCAUAAAUAAAUAAAAAUAAAAACAAAAAGUCUUAACCGUUAAUUUUUCGGUUGGAAAUUAAGGUAGGAAAAUAGAUUCAGUCAUCAAGAACCAUUGUCUUAAUCAUAACAAUCAAUGUGAAACAAAAUUAUUUUAUUUUUAUUUUUAUUUGUACUCGAUCUAUUUAUUUACGAAUCAUUUCAAGUUCACAUCCCAUUUUCGUACAUCAACUUACGAUUUUUUACAAAUUAAAAGUCUGUAAAUUUAUAUAAACGAACGAUAGCACGAUAUUAAUUUCGAUGAUUGGAUAUAAUCUGGAAACACAUCAAUCAUAUGGAACAAGUAUAAUUAAGGACACCUAAUAACAAUUAACAAAUUAUUAGUCAAUAUAAUUAGGCUUACCAAAUUAAAUUAACCACCACUAGUUUGAGACAAUCAAAUCUUAUUCCUAGAACAUGUCUUCAGCCAAACAAAAGCUCAAUGACAAGAACUACUUAAAUAAAUAAUAAAUUAAUUAGCAUUUUUUUUUUGCCUAAUAAAUUAAAUAAACAUUAAACUCAAUUUGUGUCAUGGGUUUGCUAGUGACAGCAAAUCUAAAUCUCUAAAGCAAUUAGUCAACUUAGAAAAUUAAAUAAAUAAAUAAAUAAAUAAAUAAAUAUUUACCAUUCUUUAAGAAAAAAUAAGACAACCUAAUCCUAAUGUUGUAUCCUAGUCACAUCCAUGUAGUUAAAAAUUAUGUAAAUUAAACUCCAAAUGAAAUAUUCCUUAAUUCACACUUAGCCACAUAUAUUAAUCUAUUAGUACCAAAUUACAUCAACCCCACUAGGAGAAAAUUAUCACUAACUUUUGGGUUUUAAUUAGUCUUGAUUUAAAUAAUUCAUAAACCACUAAUCACCACUUUUCGAUAACGUGUUUAGCGGGUAAUAAUAAUAAUAAUAAUAAUAAUAAUAAUAAUAAUAAUAAUAAUAAUAAUAAUAAUAAUAAUAAUACUAAUAAUAAUAAUAAUAAUAAUAAUAAUCCUUAUUAUAAAUUAGGUGUCUGCGUUUCAUCGUAGUUAAGUAUUAAAGAUGGAGUGACGGUUUUGUCCUUCGGAUUCAUUGUUUAAAUUUAAUUGUGAUUAUACUCUAUAGUCUAUAGUCUAUACACAUAAAUAAACAUUCAUUAAUUAAAUAGUACUAUAUUGUUAUAUAUCAAUUAUCAAAAAAAAAAAAAAAAUUGCUAUAUAUCGUUAAAUACAAUUUUAUAUCAAACAAAAUAAAUCCAAUUCCCUUAUUUAAAAAAAGUUCCAAAAUUGGAAUUUCUUUGAAUUAAAAUAUCAACAAAUUAAAAAAAAAAAUCCCAUUUUUAUUCACAUAUAUAAAUUCAAAAUCAUUUUCGGAAAUUAACAGUAUACAUACUACAAAAAAAAAAAAAAAGAAAAAAAAGAGAAGACGGUGUUUCAAAAUUGGAAACAUUCGAAUCGAAAUCGGCGAAAUUCAAAAAAUUAUAACUCAAUUUCCAAUUUUACCCCCGUUAAUCAAAUAACACACUUCCACCACAUAAAUAAAAGCGCGUUGUGCACAUUGGGUGCGCCGAGUCACUCUCCUUCUUCUUCAAAUAAAUUUCCUNNNNNNNNNNNNNNNNNNNNNNNNNNNNNNNNNNNNNNNNNNNNNNNNNNNNNNNNNNNNNNNNNNNNNNNNNNNNNNNNNNNNNNNNNNNNNNNNNNNNCAGGCGAAUUCCAGCCUCGAGGAUCAGAGUCAGGUUUACACGUCGCCGACCGCCACCUACGUCGGCGUAUACGACGGACAUGGUGGACCUGAGACCGCACGCUUUGUUAACAAUCACCUCUUCCCUUACCUCCACAGUAACUUUUUUUUAUCUCUCUUUCGUUUUUCCUUGUUUUUUUCUAGGUUUUUUUUUCCCUAUGAUUUGGGGGUUUUGUUUCAGUGCGGAUUCCUGUUUUCAUUUUUUUUUUUUUAUUUUUGGUGGAAUUUGAUCUUAUUUCUUAUAAGGGAUUAGACUUUAGAGAGGUUUUUGUAUUUUGAAUUUUACCUCCGUUGUAAGGGUUAAUUUUUUUAUUUUAGUUUUUUAAUCGAUGUUGUGAGGGUUAAUCUGCUAUAUUCAUUUAUUUUGGUAAAUAACUUUUUCGUGUGAUUCUUCCACAAAUUCGAUUUGAUGGAAUGAGUUUUUUGCUUAAUUGCUUGUGUAGUUCCAUUGGUACUCUGUUCGACUUUCAGAGACUAACUAUAUCAAUGAUUUUUUUUAUGAUUCUUGUAGAGUUUGUAAAGGAGCAAGGGGGAUUAUCAUCAGAUGUAAUAAAGAAGGCCUUUUCUGCUACAGAAGAAGAUUUUACUCAUUUAGUGAAGAGAUCAUUUCCAUCCAAACCUCAGAUGGCCUCCGUUGGAUCGUGUGUCUUGGUCGGUGCAAUUUCAGACGGUAAUUUGUAUGUGGCUAACUUGGGAGACUCGAGAGCUGUUCUUGGCAGGAGAGGCUUUGAUGGAGAAAAAAAAAUGGUGGCCGAAAGAUUGUCCACAGACCAUAACGUUUCGUCUGAGAAUGUGAGGAGGGAGGUUGAAGCACUUCAUCAAGACGACAUGCCUGUCGUGGUUUAUUGCCGAGGAGUUUGGAGAAUCAAGGGAAUAAUUCAGGUAAAAUUUCGUAGUCAUGCAUUUAUUGAAUGCGAAAAAACAUCCUUAAUUCGUUUCAAUAUUCCUCUUAAAUUGUGUAAAUUUAGAGAAGAAGCUACUACGAGCAUGCCUCUCUGUUGACUAUUUAUCAAAUUCUUCUUCAUGCUGUUUGACUGAGUGAGACUAGAGGUUGUUUCAUUCAAUGUUGAUGUGGAAUUCAUGAUGCAAUUCUCACUCACCCGUUGGAGAGGAGAAUAUCAUGUAUUAUUAUUCUAUUCAUGAGUUAACUAAGAAGUUACGUAUAUGCUGCUGCCCUGUUCUGCUCUCUCUCUUUUUUUUUUUUUUCUGUUACGUAUAUCUCGUGUAUUGUUUACGAGAGGGUGACGGUAAAGAGGCACAAACGGUUGAUUAAUGUUCUAAAAGGGUUAUUAUGUCUUGGCUACUCUUCCAGGAAUCACAUGCUCUGCCUUUGCCUGUCUCAUGUAGUUGAAGUCAAAGUAGCAUCAUUGACUUGCCUUCCUCACAUGAGAUGUACAAUGGAGAUCUUCUUAUAAAGCAAAGUCGUGUGAUUCCAGCGGAAGCUCGUUUAGCUUUUUAGGGUCUCUAUUUUUCUUUCUUUUCCAGUUUGAGGUAUUUAUAAUGGCCGUGUGAGAUAAACAAGUUCAUCAUCACCCCCUCUAAUCUUGUUACCCGUCUCUUUUUUAGUUUGUUAAACAUCAAUUUCUUGAAACAUAAUCCCCUAACUAAUUUCCUUUCAAAUUUUCUAUUCAGGUGUCUAGAUCAAUCGGGGACGUGUAUUUGAAGAAACCCGAGUUUCACAGAGACCCAAUGUUCCUACAAUACGGAAGUUAUGUUCCGAUGAAGCGACCUGUAUUGUCAGCAGAACCUUCCAUUGUUACUAGAAAGCUUAGACCACAAGAUUUGUUCCUUAUUUUCGCCUCUGAUGGGCUAUGGGAACAGCUCAGUGAUGAUGAAGCUGUUCAAAUAGUAUCAAAGUACCCACGAGCUGUAAGUUAUUACAUCGAAUGUUAUAUAUUCGAAAAGAAAAAAAAAAUUGGUUGUUAAUUAAUUAUUUUAAAAUAAUAAUUAGAAUAUUGUUUUUGCAGGGGAUAGCCAAGAGAUUAGUAGCAGCAGCUCUUCAAGAAGCUGCAAAGAAAAGGGAAGUGAGGUAUAGAGAUAUCAAGAAGAUUGAGAGGGGAAUAAGAAGGCAUUUCCACGAUGACAUCACUGUUGUUGUGAUUUUUCUUGAUCAUCAAAAAACCUCGUCCAAUAAGCUAGGUACAUCUGGCGGUAUUACCUCACCCGUCGACAUCUUCACUUACAAUUCCGAUGAACGUGUGGAAAAUUCAGGUGACAAGAUUUUCCCCAACUAGGAAUCGAGAUACGAGGGUUAACAUGUGCGGCAAUAAGUAGAAGGCAUGAUCAUCAUCUUGUAUAGAGGUUCUGGUGUAGAUAAAUCAUAGUGCUGAAGUAUUCUGAUCAAAGAGAGCUUUUUUUUUCGUUCUUUUUCGUUGAAAUGUAGCCUCUAACACCGAAUACAGCGUCAUUCUUUUCUUGUUUUUGAAGGUUUAAUUCUGGUUUUCGAAUUUGCUAUCAGUGUUUAUGAUAGUUGGAAAUUCACCAAGUCAUGUAUGGAUUUUUGUUUGUUUUUAUUGUUCAAGGUUGCAGUAAGUUUAAGCAAAGAUCCCUGUACAUUUAAAUAUCCUUUUAUUGUUCAAAUGUUUGGGAAUAACAGGGAUAUAUUCGAUAGCAUUUGAACUUCAUCUUGUAAACAACCAAAACGAGCUCGAACUAGAAAAAACGUACAAAUAACUCUUACAAUACACAUACUGCAGCACGUUAUUAUUAUAAAAGUAAAUAAUCCCAUCACGAAACCAUAUUCAUCUAAUUAAUCGGGGCAGGAUACAUAAACGAAGACACACCACAAUGUUCAACAAUAACACAUCUUACAUUCGCUCUCUUUCUUGCAGUAAUAACAUCAGCAAGAACUCAGCAUGAUCUUCAUCCUCACCAUUAUUCCCUUUCUUCGACAAACACAACGAAAAAAGACCUUCCACGAACAACAAAACCAAGAAAACCGAACCCAACAAAAAAUAAAUCAUGGAACAAUCUUGUAAGCCUUGACCUUAUCAAUCCAAGAAAUCAACGAAUUCUUCGAAUUCCUAAACCCAAGAAACCCAUGCUCCUUACUCUUAUUCAUCGUAUCCAAAUAACACUCCGAUCCAAGUAUAACAUCACCAAACCACCAAAUUCCAACAUCCCCUAAUUUCGUCUCCGUCAAACCAUUCUCCUUCACAAUCUCAUCCCAAACGGGACCUUUAUCCUUCAUCAUCUCCACCAAUGUCAGCUUCUGCCCUUCCUCAUAACCGCCACACUCCACCCCAAACUGCUCAGCCAACACUUUCCAGAAAUGCUUCCAUUUGAACACAUCGCCAUUGCUCACGUUGAAUGCCUCAUUCUUCGCGUAAGGAUCAACCGCCGCCCAUAUCUGAUGCUCCGCUAUCAAAUCAGCAUCGGAGCAAUCGGAGUAACCCUCCCAAGCGAUCUUGCUCCCCGGAAAUUUCAGAACCGAACCCUCGUGCUUGCAUAUGGCGGCGUACACGCAUAGGGUUCCGACUAGAUUCAUCAUGCUGGACGGGGAGCAUCCGAAUAUGUUGCCCGGGCGGUGGACGGACCAAGUCAAACCCUCCUUCUUCUCCACCUCGGCGAAGAGAAUGUCUUCCAAGGUGUAGUAGAAGUUGAUGUAGUUCAGUCGGGGCAAAUCUUCGGAGUACGGCGGGUCGUGGGUUUCGAUCUUCCCGUACGAUUCGAACGGGCCGAUGUAGUGCUUCCGACCAGUCUGCAAGCAGAUGUGCUUCAAAUUGGGGGAAUUAGGGAUCACUACAUCGAGGACGUUCUUCAGCAUUUUGCCGUUGGAUUCGCAGUUCUCGACCUCGGUGGAUCUGUUCGCCCAGGUGACGUAGAAUACGUGGGUGAUGUCGGUGAGAGGGGAGAGCUUGGCCUGAAUAUCGUCCGGGUCGGAUAUAUCGCACCGGAUGUAGUUGAUCGGGUUGUCGUCGUUCCAGGUGGGGCGUGGGCGGCGGGCGACGCCGUAGACCUUCCAUGGACCGCCGGGGGUGUCGGAGAGGGGCAGGAUCUCCGCCAGGCUGUUGCCGACGAUUCCGGUGACACCGAUUAUUAGGGCUACGGCUUGAUGCUUCUGCUGUGGCUCAUCUUCGUCGAUUUUUUUCUGAUUUUUCAAUCGAUUAAAACAAAUCAAAUUACAAGCAAUUAAAAUAAUAAAAAAUUACAAAAUAACGAUCGUGAUUGUGUGAGAGGAUUUACCUUUGCAGCGCCGAUAGCUCCAGCCCACCACCAGCUCAUAUUUCAGUCUCGGAGGAUCGGAGUUUUUUUACUAACUGUAUUUGUUUUGCAGAGUGUAGAGAGAGAAAGAGAGGAGAGAGAGCAGAGCUUAGGUUUUGUAUAUGUGUGGAUCGACACAGCAGAUGAAGAGAUGGGACAGGUGUGCGUUUCUUAUUUCUUCACGUGUUUUUAUUUUAUUUGUAAAUAUCCUAAAAAAGUGAUUAGAGAGAAGUAGAGAGAGAAACGUAAAGAAAACUAUUUUCUCUUUGAAUUGCUUAUUUUGUUUUCUAGUUGCAAUUAUUUUCAUUAAAAAAAGUUGCAAUUAUUUCCAUUUUUAUCAUAGUUCCAUAAAAAUAUAAGGGUUACACAAGAAGGCUCAUGAUAAGGACACUUAAUUAAAAGAUGGAUAUUUAAUUUUUUUGUCUUUCAAAUAAAUCCAGUUCAUUCAAACUUAUUUGCAAAUAAGGAAAAUCUUUUUAUAUAUACCAAAAUUACUCCCAAUUCAUUGAAACUCAAUUCAACUCAAAUUUCAUGAUUUACACCCCAAUUUAGCUCAAUUUCAUCAAUUAACCAAUUUUAACCUUAAUAUCAAUUUUGACCCGCCACCACCGGAGACCGCCGGAGACCGUCGUUGACCACCGGUCUCCGGCGUUGAUUUUUUUUUAUAUAUAAUUUUGUUUUUUCUUAAAAAAAUUAUUUUAAUUAAUAUUACUGUCUAGGCUGCUAAAUUACUGUCUCCAGCAGUUAUUUAACAGUCGGAGACAGUAAUUUAACUGUUAAUUGAUUUUUUUUUCUUCAAAAAUAUUUUAAUUAAUAUUACUGUCUUUGCUGCUAAAUUACUGUCUCCAGCAGUUAUUUAACCGUCGGAGACAGUAAUUUAACUGUUAAUUGACUUUUUUAUUCUUAAAAAAAUAUUUUUAAUUAAUAUUACUGUAUUCGUUGCUAAAUUACUGUCUCCAGCAGUUAUUUAACUGUCGGAGACAGUAAUGUAACUGUUAAUUGACUCUCUUUUUUUGAAAUUUUUUUUCUUAAAAAAAAUUAUUUUAAUUAAUAUUACUGCAUUGGCUGGUAAAUUACUGUCUCCAACAGUAAUUUAACUGUCUUAGACAAUAAUAUUAAUAAUAUUACUGUUCGGAAAAAAAAUAUUCAUAAUAUUACUGUCUGAGACAGUAAUUUAGUAGCCAAGACAGUAAUAUUAAUUAAAAUAUAUUAUUCUAAAAAAAAUUCAAAAAAAAAAUGUCAACGGUGGUUGACCGGGCGGAAAAAAAUUGAGGAAAAAAAAGUUUUCACAAAAAAAAAAAGUCAAUGCCGGAAUCUGACCGGAAAAAAAAAUAUAUUGAGGGUUAAGUGUGAUAUAUUUGUUUAAAUCCGGGGUCAAUGUGUAAUAUUAAGGAAGUUAGAGCAUAAUGGAUGGAAUUGAUAAGAGUUAUAUUAUGGAGGGUAUUUUAGACUAAAGACAUGGGGAUGAGUUUAAUUGAGAGACUAUUUUUUUUGUGUUUUUUGUGGACCAAUGUGCAUUUAAGUCGCAUAUGAUGGGUCUUUUUGCCAUUCGCCCUAAAAAUAAAACGCUAAAUUACGGUCGUCUGUGAGCUAAUGCUAAAUUAAGAAAAAAAAUACUCCUAGUUGGGCAGUAAUUCAUCAUUCAACUACGAAUUUUCUUAUAUGUUCAUCUUUAUGGUGUUAGAUUCAGCAGAAUUUUUUUAUUCCGUUGAAUGUUCUCCAAUUUGUACUUGUUAUGUGCAAAAAUACAGUUUAUAAUGCACCACAAUAUGAUAUUUACAAGCCAAGAGACACAUUUUAUGAUCAUCUUAUUUCAAAAAUAUAGAGCUCGAAUGGAAUAAAACAGGUACAAGCUAUAGAAUAUUCCACUAAAUUUAAUACCACAAGGAUCUACGUGUAUGAAGAUUCUUAGCUAGGGAACGAUUGUAAUUACUCAAACAUGAAGAAGUAUUUUGUAAUUUAACAUUACCUCAAGGGAUGACCGUAAUUUAUCCAAAAUAAAAUUGAGAAAAUGUGGAAAUUAAAGAAAAGAAAAUUAAAUUAAAUCGAGCAGAAUAAUAAGACGUGGCCACCAAAAACCUUGAUACAGUGCUGGCAAAUGCAGUGGUUAGGUAGGUUGGUACGUGAUUCUCGUUUCUCAUUAUUGAUUCUUAAAUAUAUUCUUUUUGUAUUAACAAUUAUAACUAUUAUUGGCAAUUUGAUUUGUUCGAUUUGAAUUUUAUUGAGUCUAAGCUUAGUAUCUAUUUAGACUUGAAUUGAGUACAUCCCAAUAGUAAUACUGGAAUUUUGUAGAACAUAGACCUGAUCAAAAUUACACCAUAUAGUUUUGUACUAUUAAUCUAAACAUAAUAGUACGCGCAUUCAUUAAUCACAAACCACAAUUUUGUCCAAUUGAUAAUCACAAAUUAAACAACCAAGUAACCAAACCAACAUUACAAUUGAUAAUCUCAAAAAUUAAACAACAAGAGGUUUUACCACUACUCACUUUCUUGCAAGUUAACACCACCAAAAAUCACACCACAACACCAUUAUGAACCAAAUUUCAAGAAUCACACAACAAUAGCUCUUCCAAAAUCAAGGAACAAUCUUGCAAGCCUGCACCUUAUACAUCCAAGAAACGAACGAACUCUUCGAAUUCCUAAACCCAAGAAACCCGUGCUCCUUACUCUUGUUCAUCGAAUCCAACGAACACUCCCCUCCGAGUAUAAGAUCACUAAACCACCAUGUCCCAACUUCUUCCAAUUUCGUCACCGUCAAACCAUUCUCCCUCACGAUUUCAUCCCAAACCGAACCUUUAUCCUUCAUAAGCUCCUCGAGUUUCACCUCCUCACCGCCUUCUUCAUACUCCACAAACUCCACCCCGAAAUGCUCCGCCAGCGCCUUCCAAAAAUGCUUCCAUUUGAACACAUCGCCAUUGCUCACAUUGAAGGCCUCGUUCUUGGCGAAACGAUCCACCGCCGCCCAUAUCUGAUGCUCUGCGAUCAAAUCUGCAUCGGAGCAAUCGGAGUAGCCCUCCCAAGCAAUCUUACUCCCCGGAAAUUUCAUAGGAACACCCUCGUGCUUGCAUAUAGCUGCGUAUACGCAGAGGGUACCAACUAAAUUCAUCAUGCUGUACGGUGAGAAUCCGAAUAUAUUUCCGGGGCGAUGAAUUGACCAAGUCAAACCCUCCUUCUUCUCCACCUCGGCGAAGAGAAUGUCUUCCAAGGUGUAGUAGAAAUUGAUGUGAUUCAAUCGGGGCAAAUCCUCUGUGUAAGGAGGAUCGUGGGUCGGUAUGUUCUUGCCGAAAGACUCGAACGGGCCGAUGUAGUGCUUUCGACCGGUCUGCAAGCAGAUGUGCUUCAAAUUGGGGGAAUUAGGGAUUACUGCAUCCAGCAAAUUCUGCAGCAUUUUGCCGUUGACUUCGCAGUUCUCUGCCUCGGUGGAUUUGUUAGCCCAGGUGACGUAGAAUACGUGGGUGAUGUCUGUGAGGGGUGAGAGCUUGACCCGUGUGUCUUCCGGGUCGGAUAUAUCGCACUGGAUGUAGUUGACCGGGU